GAUGAACGCUGGCGGCGUGCUUAACACAUGCAAGUCGAGCGAAGCACCUUGACGGAUUUCUUCGGAUUGAAGCCUUGGUGACUGAGCGGCGGACGGGUGAGUAACGCGUGGGUAACCUGCCUCAUACAGGGGGAUAACAGUUGGAAACGGCUGCUAAUACCGCAUAAGCGCACAGUACCGCAUGGUACGGUGUGAAAAACUCCGGUGGUAUGAGAUGGACCCGCGUCUGAUUAGGUAGUUGGUGGGGUAACGGCCUACCAAGCCGACGAUCAGUAGCCGCCCUGAGAGGGUGACCGGCCACAUUGGGACUGAGACACGGCCCAAACUCGUACGGGAGGCAGCAGUGGGGAAUAUUGCACAAUGGGGGAAACCCUGAUGCAGCGACGCCGCGUGAGCGAUGAAGUAUUUCGGUAUGUAAAGCUCUAUCAGCAGGGAAGAAAAUGACGGUACCUGACUAAGAAGCCCCGGCUAACUACGUGCCAGCCGCCGCCGUAA
rnacentral:rRNA from 1 species